AGCAUGGCUGGAAAGAAGUCUGCAAAGCUGUUGGUUUUUCUGAGUCAAGACAACAAAAGAAAAUUGUUGCUGCCAAAUGGGAUUCCAGAGUCUGUGGAGGAGCUUGUUGAUGAUGUGAGGAGAACUUGUGGAUUGAGUGGGAACUUCAGGAUCCAGUACCAGGACAAAGACUUUGGUGAUACAUUUGUAAAUUUAACAUCUACUGGAGAACUUCAGGAUCUUGGCAUCAUCAAAGUAAUCCCUUUGCCUGAUGAAGACACAGCUCCUGCACAGACAGCUGUUCAGUCAGCCUCAGUAAUGAUGACGCCUUUUCCACUUCUGGUGAAACUGAUGACACGGUGAUCCUCUCCACAACCUCUUCUAGUCCUUCUUCAAGGACCAAGCAGUGGCCCAAAGAGUUUCCCAUUCCAAGCUUUUCAUAUGACACUGAAGUCCAGUUAGAGAGAGGAAAUGCUGCUUUCAAGGCAAAUGGAACAAGGUUGAAAGUCAGUCCUAGGAUGAAGUCAGACAUUCUGGAAAAGGUAUCUGAUGAGAUCUACAAGUAUAAAGCUUACCCGAAAAGCUCAGACUUCUGUGAGGUUUCAGAGGCACUGAUCAAGAAGCACCCCUGCUUGGCAGAGCCAGGAUCUUGGAAUGGCUGCUAUGGCUGUACACAGAGACUUAAAACCAGGAUUGGAAACCUCCGUACCCAACUGAAGGGACUUGGAUGCCCCGAGCUUGCUGUCAAUGCUCUAAAGACCAAAGCUGCAGAUGACGCCCAUCCAGCAAAAAAUGUCAAGCGACCUAAAUGUGGUGAGGCCAACCAUGUGCCGUCCUAUCCAGCUGGCGUGACAGCAGACAAUUUUGAGAUGGAGCGGCAGGUACUUUUGAAGGAAGAAACGGAACAACGGGAGGAUUAUCCGAGAAAAAAUGGCCAAGACAUUUGCCUUUCGUAGACAAGAAAUUGUGGAAAAACAACCCAGGGUGGAAGAACUCCAGGAGCGAUGGCCAGCGAUGUUUCAAGAAGAAGAGAUCAAUGCUGAAUUCCUACGGAUCACAACGGUACCUCUACAAGCACGAUUCUUGGCCAGUUUGGAUAAACAGAGCAGUCAGCUUCUUCAGGUCAUUAGGAGAAAAGGUGGAGCUGUCGGUGAGAAAACCAGGGACGUCCUUAAACCUUUGGAUCAGAGUGUGGACUUGAACAUCAGAAGAGAGUGCCUCCUGAAGUCCCUUGUGAUGUACCUGGGUGAAGAUGUGAGCCANC